rnacentral:rRNA from 2 species
AAAUUGAAGAGUUUGAUCAUGGCUCAGAUUGAACGCUGGCGGCAGGCCUAACACAUGCAAGUCGAACGGUAGCACAGAGAGCUUGCUCUCGGGUGACGAGUGGCGGACGGGUGAGUAAUGUCUGGGAAACUGCCUGAUGGAGGGGGAUAACUACUGGAAACGGUGGCUAAUACCGCAUAACGUCGCAAGACCAAAGAGGGGGACCUUCGGGCCUCUUGCCAUCAGAUGUGCCCAGAUGGGAUUAGCUUGUUGGUGAGGUAACGGCUCACCAAGGCGACGAUCCCUAGCUGGUCUGAGAGGAUGACCAGCCACACUGGAACUGAGACACGGUCCAGACUCCUACGGGAGGCAGCAGUGGGGAAUAUUGCACAAUGGGCGCAAGCCUGAUGCAGCCAUGCCGCGUGUAUGAAGAAGGCCUUCGGGUUGUAAAGUACUUUCAGCGGGGAGGAAGGUGUUGUGGUUAAUAACCGCAGCAAUUGACGUUACCCGCAGAAGAAGCACCGGCUAA